rnacentral:tRNA from 1 species
GGUGCCAUGGCCAAGUGGUAAGGCACGAGUCUGCAAAACUCUUAUCCCCGGUUCAAAUCCGGGUGGCACCUCCA